CACGGGAGGCAGCAGUGGGGAAUAUUGCACAAUGGGCGAAAGCCUGAUGCAGCUAUGCCGCGUGUAUGAAGAAGGCCUUAGGGUUGUAAAGUACUUUCAUCGGGGAGGAAAAACAAAACUAAUAAUUUUAUUUCUUGACGUUACCCGAAAAAGAAGCACCGGCUAACUCCGUGCCAGCAGCCGCGGUAAUACGGAGGGUGCUAGCGUUAAUCAGAAUUACUGGGCGUAAAGAGCACGUAGGUGGUUUUUUUAAGUCAGAUGUGAAAUCCCUGGGCUUAACCUGGAACUGCAUUUUGAAACUGAAAUACUAGAGUAUCGUAGAGGGAGGUAGAAUUCUAGGUGUAGCGGUGAAAUGCGUAGAUAUCUGGAGGAAUACCUGUGGCGAAAGCGGCCUCCUAAACGAAUACUGACACUGAGGUGCGAAAGCGUGGGGAGCAAACAGGGAUUAGAUACC
rnacentral:rRNA from 1 species